rnacentral:rRNA from 1 species
UACGAAGGGGGCUAGCGUUGCUCGGAAUUACUGGGCGUAAAGCGCACGUAGGCGGCUCUUUAAGUCGGAGGUGAAAUCCUGGAGCUCAACUCCAGAACUGCCUUCGAUACUGAAGAGCUCGAGUCCGGGAGAGGUGAGUGGAACUGCGAGUGUAGAGGUGAAAUUCGUAGAUAUUCGCAAGAACACCAGUGGCGAAGGCGGCUCACUGGCCCGGUACUGACGCUGAGGUGCGAAAGCGUGGGGAUCAAACAAG